rnacentral:rRNA from 4 species
AACUUUCAACAACGGAUCUCUUGGUUCCAGCAUCGAUGAAGAACGCAGCGAAAUGCGAUAAGUAAUGUGAAUUGCAGAAUUCAGUGAAUCAUCGAAUCUUUGAACGCACAUUGCGCCCCUCGGUAUUCCGGGGGGCAUGCCUGUUCGAGCGUC